AUGGCUGGGAAACCUCACUCUCUCUAUAUAUUGAUGGUCAUUUCGCCCCCUCCCCGAAACCCUAAACCGGCGGCGGAGGCUGAGAGAGUCAGGCAGCUCUCCCAGCUGCUGGAUUCGACCACUCCGAAGGCCAUGGCGCUCCGGUCUGCCGCUGGAACUGCGGCCAGGGGCGUUGGAUCUCUCCGCCAGCACUCUCUCGUGGCAACCAGGGCUGGGGAGGUUUUUCUUCCGAAAAUCUCAGCGGCCUGCUCCCCUUUCCCAUCGGGUUUCCGGUUCCUCUCCACAAAGGACCCUUCUCUUACGAUGAUUCAGGAUGCUGUCCAGGAGGGACUGAAAUCUGAUGCUCUGAAGCUCGUGGUCCAAGCUGCAGUCGAUGAGGGUCUCAAAUCGCAGGAUGCUCUAAAGCAUACCAUUGAACUGGCAGUUCAAAAGGCAUUGAAAUUUGACGUGGAAGGACCCACGAAAGCUCAGGCCAUGGGGGUUUACAGUGCGUCCAGUUCGGCAGAUCCCCUUCCCAAGAGCGACGCAGCCUACAGCACUUCAGGAUACUGGCCGGCCGAUCCCCUUCCCAAGAGCACUAGCGCCUACUGCCUUUCUGGAUCCAGGGUUUCCAGGUCUGCGGAUCUCCUUAUCAAGAGCUCUGCUGCAUACUGCCCUUGUCUCUCCAGGGUGUCCAGGUCGCUGGUUCUUAUUCCCAAGACCUCUGCAGGGUACUUCUCUUCUGUCUCCAGGACGUGCUUUCUACCCCUGUCUGGUCCCCGUUUCUUCAGCACCCAGAAGGGUUGUGCUGACCUUGACAAGUUUGAUAAAUUCGAGAAGCUGUAUCAAAAGGAUAGAGUUCAUGUCUCGACGGGACUAGAUCGCAUAGUUGGCCUAUUGUAUGAACUGAAGGAGGAUGUCGAUCAAACCGACUUUAUUCAGAAGUGGCUUACUAACAUUGGCAAGGAGACUCUUUUACUAUCAGACAGCCAGAUUGAAGGUAUUGGUAAAGGUUGGACUUGUCUCAACUACGGCGGUGGUUUUUUUGCCUGGGGUACACUGGUUUACUUUGGCGUGAUGACAAUCAGAGAGAAUAACAUCCCCUACACGGAUUACUUUCAUUUAUUGAAUGCUGUCCGUGUCCAAGCCUUGAAUAGGGGUAUCGCCCAAUACAAAGCUGAGAAACAGGAGCUGGAGGAUGCGGUGAAUGCUAAAGCGGUGAUGGCUGCACUCGCAAAGAAGGCGGCAGAGGAUGCUGCCGCUGAGAAGAAGGCAAAGGAUGUCGAGGCUGCCGCCUCCAGGAAGGCCAAGGCGGAGCAGACAGGUGCGAAGUGGAGGUCCAAGUCAGAACAGGCUGCUGCCCUUAGAAAGGCUAAGGCGAGAGAGGUCCGUGACGCCAAUUUGACCAAGUGGAAGCAGUCCAACGCCGAGAGGAAGGAGGCGGACACAGCAAGGAAGGCAAAGGCAGCUCAGGCCGCCGCGGAAAUCAAGGCAAAGCUGAAGGAGGCCGCUGAGAAGAGGAUGGCCAAGGCUGAAAAGCUGGCUGCUGCCGUGGCGGCUGCGAGGAAGGCCAAGGCGGCUGCUAAGUCUGGUCCCAAGAAGUAG
rnacentral:rRNA from 1 species